UACGUAGGCAGCGAGCGUUGUUCGGAUUUACUGGGCGUAAAGGGUGUGUAGGCGGUUGUUUAAGUUUGGUGUGAAAUCUCCCGGCUCAACUGGGAGGGUGCGCCGAAUACUGAAUGACUUGGAGUGCGGGAGAGGUGAGUGGAAUUCCUGGUGUAGCGGUGAAAUGCGUAGAUAUCAGGAGGAACACCGGUGGUGUAGACGGCUCACUGGACCGUAACUGACGCUGAGACACGAAAGCGUGGGUGGCAAACAGG
rnacentral:rRNA from 1 species